rnacentral:lncRNA from 1 species
UGGUGGUUUGGUCAGUGUCAGCUCGGUAGGCAUGGUGGGUGCGACGUACGACGGCCUGUUAUCCUUCUACCAUCAAGAGCGGGAGGUUGUCGAUGCUCUGUGAAGCCAGCCUGACGCGGUGCCCUCCGCUUUAGGAUCCUAUGAGACUUAGGCCUUCGCCAAGAUCACAUAGAACAUCUGCCUGACUUAGAAUGGGCGAGCCGAGUAAUGUGCGGCCGCACCCAACCUACUCGAGCACAACAUGCCAUUCCACAACCGAUCGCCCCCGCUCGGGUUACAAGCCAACGCUAACGGGCUCGGCGAUCGAGGCGCUUUCACAGCAUCAUAUCAGGCCAAACAAUUUGUCAAAACAAGUGAUGUGGGACCAAGAAUGUUGUAACUGUUAGUGUAAACAACUUUAUGUCGUGUCCUCGAGCCGACGCGGUUUGGUUGGGGGUCCGAAUGACGAGGAUCUUGCGCGGCGUCCCUCGAGAUCUCCCAGUGGCCGAUUACGGUGGUCCGGUCGGGACGUCGCGUCGGGAGGAAAGCUUUGCCGUAGCGCCGGGAAGAGGCGACCCCGUUCUUGCACCUGCACACAGGUCGGGUCGGAAGCUCGGCCCGACCCCUCCGACGAUCAAGUUAGUGGAUAUGGAGGGGGUUUUAGGUGAAUAAGUGCUCUCUUUUUCUCCUCCCUUUUCGUUUAGAACUCGGUGGUAUUUAUAGGUGAGUUUAGUGUUACCUGAUGUGUCUGCCCGCAGGAGCAGAAUCGUACCUCUAAUGGCGUCUGACAUUGCCGUUGGCAUUGCGUGGAGAACCGAACUGCCGCAGGGCAUGGGUGAGCCUCGAUCGCCGUUCUCCUCUGCCUUGGCCAAGCAUGUUGGGUCAGACAACGAUGAAGUCGUUGUCUGGGAGCGGGUGACGUCAGCGCACAUCGCGUCAGCAUUACUGCCCUAUUUGGGGUAGAGUGUCGUCCAGACAUGGCUGACGUCGUGACGCGUCAUGUCGCCAUUAUUAUCCUCAUCAGUAACCACUGAUGCUUCUCCUUAGCGCGCACCAAAUGCUUUGGAUGCUGCUGUAACUAACUGUGCGCCUAGUACGUUUUGGAAGACACGCGAAUUGAACUCCACUGGAUUGUACUCCGCCCUGAAUGAUACAAACCCAAAUGCUAGAGAUUUUAAUCUCUGAAAUUAUUAGCAUCGAGUUGAAAUUUUGUCAUAUAUAUACAAGUUGAAAUUUCUAUCAGAAUUGAGUAUCGAUCGAAGGCCUCUCAUAUAUGUUGCUUUUUUAAUUUUAUUUUUUCCUUUUACAAUUCUUUCUUAUAUAGUUCAUGCUAGUUGAAUAUUAAGAAAACAACAGAAACAAUAAUAAUAAUUAUUAUUAACUAUCUAUGUAUAUUAGAUAGUUGAAAAGAUACACUAAAAUCUCAUAUUCAAGAGAUAUGAACUUGAAUAACCAAACGGUAUAUGAGAAUACAUAAUAUUAAGAAGAUUACCUUAAGAGAUCUAUACAAAAUCUAAAAAACAAACAUAAAUAGUGCAAAUCAAUGAGUGCAUAAAGACGAUGUUUACAACUCUCAAAUUUAUUAUCAAUGAAGUAAAAUUGUAUUAUAAGCAUCAUAAAAAAAAAUCAUAGAGGGCAUGUGUCCCUAGUUUAUUUAAGGGUGAGGGAUAGGAUGAUAGCUUAAACUUGUAUAAAGAAAAAAAACUAAAAACAUCUUAUGAUAUAAUAAAAACUAAAAUCACCAUAGGUUUAGAUGAUUAUACCAUUAAAACAUAUAUGAAUAUUUGGGAUCAUUCCACUUACCAAAAAAGGUGGUGGUUUGAUAGGCGUUAACCCUGUGGGUACGGUGAGUGCGGCGUACACCGGCCUGUUAUCCCUCCACCGUCAAGAGCGGGAGGUGGUCGCUGCUCUGUGAAGCCAGCCUGACGCGGUGUCCUCCGCUUUAGGAUCCUAAGAAGCUCGAGCCUUCGCCCGGGCCGCACGGCUCAGCUGCCUGACUUGGAACGGACAAGCCGAGUAUAGUACGGUCGCACCCAACCCAGUCGAGUUAAACACACCAUCCCACCGCCUCAAGGCUCCCGCUCGGGUUACAAGCCCACGCUACCGGGCUCGGCGAUCGAGGCGCUUUCGCAGCAGAAUAUAACGUCUUUGAUUCUUUUAGAAUUGGCGAUGUGGGACUAAGAAUUGUGCCAACCCGCCACCGAUUCAUCCACCAGCAAAAUGCUUUGGAGGAUAACACAAACUGCAAGUGCCCCAAGAGAAUUGGAUUGCGCACGAACAGCUUCUUUCUACUCCAACGCCCCGAAUGAUGCAUUCAUGGCCAAACUGUGUUGUUCAUGGAUGCAGAUCGAAAAGCGCUAAGUAAUCCCCAAAGGUAAGAAUACGUUUGAUUGUCUUACGAUACAACCUUACCCUAUUAGAAAUUUAAUCUCAUAAUCUAAUAAUACUAAAAGAACAAAAAAGAGAAUCCAAUUACAGAGAAAAGGAAUGAUAAAAAAGUGGGGUCUGAUCGAUGUUAGCUUGCCGAGCAUGGUAAGGUGUGGCUUCGACCAGUCUGCCAUCCCUUCCACUGUCGAGAGCGGGAGGUACUCGUUUCUUUGUUAGGAUGCGUAUGACUCGAGUCUUCGCCUGGAGUCACAUUGCUCAAUUUCUUGACUCAAAAUGGGCAAGUCGGGGUUGGGUGGGUCAAACCUAACCCAAUCAAGCACAACACAUCAUUCCACCUCCUUCAUGCCCUCACUCAUGUGACAAGCCUGUGCUACGAGGCUCGACAAUUACAAGUAUUUCACAGAGUAAUAUAAAGGCAUAAAAAUAGGUAAAAACUAGCAAUGUGGGACGAAGAAUAGUGCGACCACUUUCCCCUCCUCCCUUUGCAGAGAGAUUCACGAACCAAAUGCUUUCGAGAGGGAACAUAGGCUUGGAUGGUGUAUUUGUCCACCUGUUUUUAUUUUGGAGAAAGAAUUCAACUGCAUUGUAAACGUAAAACUCCUUCCUACUCCCCUCCUCAAUGAUAUAUAAAUAUUUAGAAAAAAACUUUAGUUUUCAAAAAUUCUCCAUCUCAACUUUUAAAAAUAUAAACAAAGUACCUAUUUCGUGCAUUAAAACAUCGUUUUAUCUCUACUUUUGUCGGAUCCAUUAUUACCUCAACCCUAUAUCAAUGCUCUAACUCUUUUCCCCUUUGCUAAGAACAACAAUAGAGUAGGGGGUCACGAAUCCUUGGUACUUUGUGUCUUCACACACGAGUUGACUUACGCACUUAGCCAUGCUUUUAUCUUGAACAGUCAUCCAUUACCCACAGCAUUGUUGAUCGCCUUCAUGAGUGGGCCCAGCCAAACUCUUUCCCCGCCUAUGAUCGAUGACGAGGGGUGCUUAUGGGCGAUUGCGAGGGUACACAGUAUGCCUCCCCUCCUUCCUCACCCACGAACAAUGAUGAGUGAAGGCAUAGGGGUCGUGGCCCUUGGUUCUUCAUUUGCAAUCGAUAACGAUAGAGUUCAAAUAUAUAUUGUAUAGCUUAAUAUUUUCAAAGUUACGAUCGCCUAAUAUUUUUUAAGAAUAUACAUAUUUAGAAUUUUUUUAAAUCUAAGAUCUAUAUAAUAUUUAUUUAUUUUUAAUUAGUUUAGUCCUUCUAUUCAAAGAUACGAACUUGAAUAAUCGAUGAUAAAAUAAGACAUAAUAUCAUGAAAAAUAAAAAAAUAUUUUUUUAGAAAAAUUAGAAAACCAUAUUAAUUAGUAAAAGCUGAAAAAAAAUAUUAGCAUCACCAUGGGCUAAGGAGUUACAAAUCCUAUGAAAAAUCAAUUUAAACUAAGCUAUGUUGAAAUUGCAUAGUUGAUCCUUUCUAAUCCCACGUCAUUGGGUUUUAGAGGAUAAUGUGAUGGGACAUACCAUGGUACUUCAGCAAAGCGGAGCUUUCUUUCUAUCAUUUAAUAGUCCUAUGCGUUGUAUCUUACUAUUAUUUUUAAUGCGAAAAAGUGGUGGUUUGGUCAGUGUAAGCCCGAUGGGUAUGGUGGGGGCGGCGUGCAUCGGCCUGUUAUGCUUCCACCGUCAAGAGAGGGAGGUUAUCGCUGCUCUGUGAAGCCAGCCUGACGCGGUGUCCUCCGCUUUAGAAUCGCAUGUGACUCAGGCCUACGCCAGGACCGCACUGCGAAGCUGCCUGACUUGGAACGGGCAAGCCAAGUCUGGAAAUCACCGGACCCAACCCAAUAGAGCUGAACACAACAUCCCACCACAUCCUUGCCCCCACUCGGGUUACAAGCCUGCGUUACUGGGCUCGGCGAUCGAGGGCCUUCCGCAGCCUCAUAUAACUUUUUGCGAGACUCUAAAUAUUGGCGAUGUGGGACUAAGAGCACUUCCUCCGCUCCCUCCUUUCCCUUUCCGAAAAUUCAUGCACCGCGUGCUUUCUGAGAGAACCCGAAUUGCACCCAAACUUUCGAUCAUGGUUCUUACCACCUUUUCAUCACCUAAAACUAUUUCAUCGGCAAAGAGGCCAUUUGAAUAAGGUCACUAUUCAAAAGCUUAAGAAUAAGGUUACUAUUUAAAUGCUCGAGUUUUUAGAAAAUAAUAAAGUAGAAGAUAUCAAUAGAAUUGUGUUAAUCAUCACCUCUUUACUCUAACGUUUAUCAUCUUUAUAAAAAUUAUCAAAAGAUAAAAGGUGCUUCAUCUCCUUCUCUUUGAAGUUUAUUUUUAGGUUGCCCUUCGUCCUUGUACAUUUUUCAAUGAUAAAUCAUAUAUAAGAUUUAUGACCCAAUGAGCUAUCUCCUUUCAAGAUGAGUCUAUCAAUAUUAAUAUCAAUUUGUCUCUCUGUGACUCCUGAGGUCGAGGUAAGUGUUCUUGGUGCUUAAGGAUGAAUCGCGCAAGAUAAAUCUGAUGUAUGAAUUCUUCAAUAUCCUUUUUCAAGUCUCGAUAUUCAUUUGUGUCAUGGACGUAAUUCAGAUAGAACCGAUAAUAUUUAGAUCCGUCUUUUUUUGCCAAUGAAGUAUUCAUCGAGUGAGAGUCUUUUAAGAGUCUCUUUCCUUUUAUCGGUAGAAAAAAACUUUAAUUCUAAGCAUAUUCAAGGGGGUUAGCUCAGACCUUGGGCGAGGUAACUCAAGUCGUUCGUUCUUCCUCUAUUGUGAUGACCUCGGGGUCGGGGUGGACUAUAGUUGCUCUUACUUCGACCUCUUGUGCGGCUGACUCUUUACGCUUACCAGAUAUUAUUAUCCUGAUGGUAAUAUAUUGAUUGACUCUUUGAAGUGCCUGUAGUAUUGUCGCCGAUGACCUCUCCACUAACGACGAGAAGAGAUGAGAGGACUUGAGACUCAUCAUGAAGGUUUGUAUCAAGAGUGACGAACGGAUAUACCACGCUUUGGAUUUUAUUAAUGAAACUAAGUGAUGAAGUUUGUAAGAAUUUCCUUCAAUUGCAUGAAUACGAGAAGCAUUGACAUUGCUAGCCUCGGGUGCACAUUCCCGAUGAAGUGAAAUUCAAACUUCCUCGUGAACUAGGUAAUGAAACUGAUGGAGAGUGGCUUCAGAUAUAAGUAUCAUUCUCGUGUUAGGUCUCUUAAUAUAGUCGAGAAUGUGUGACACAUCAAGGCAUCCGAAGUGUCAUACAAUAAUAUUUAGGCAUGGAAAGUUAUAAUGUGCUCCAUUGGGUUAGCAUUGCCAUCGAAUGCCUCCAACGACGGUGGUGGAAGAUUGUUAGAAUCGAUUCUUCCUAAAUUUUCUAGAUAAAUGAUGACCGACUCGAGGUGGAGUUAACCAAUGCUUCCCUUUUGGAUUAUUAAAAUUUUUAUCAUAUCUCCUUCAAACGAUGAUCCAUCUAUCAUAGUUGGAUUUGCAAGGAAUCCUUCAUCAAAUUCGUCGAUCUAGUCUCUGAUUUAAGCAUGAUAGAAUCGUGAUAUGGAAUGCUAAAUUUCAUGAUUAUGGAGCGAAGUGCUCUCUCGGCCAUGAUUCGAUAGGUUUUGGGUACUUUUAGGAUGUAACACUAUGUUGGAUGGGGGAAAGUUGAUGGGUGCUAGUGGUGGGUGAGCCAGUGACAACAACUGAGUUAGUGGCGUUGUCUAUUAAGCUAACUAGGGUAAAUGUUAGAGAUUUUAAUAUAUAAAAGAAGUUUUAUAUUUUAAUAUAUAGAAUAUGCAUACUUGCAAGGCAUCUUAUGUUUGUCAAUUGUUGUCACCCCUUUUUUCUUAUUUAAGAUCCCUUCUGAUUUUUUUAAUCAUAAUUAUAUUUUUACUGUUUUUUAAUAUUUAAUUCCUUCCAUCGAAAGAAAUGAACUUGAAUAACGAGAUGAUAUAAUAAAAGACACAAUAUCAACAAAAAUUUCUCAAGACCUACAUAAAGAAAAAACAAUUCUUUGUAAAAAGAGAAAAAGCUAUAUUAAUUAGCAAAAACUAAAAAAAAACGAAGAGCCGUUAGUAGCCUCCGAGGAAGAACAAAAAGUGGGUCAGCCUAUAAAAGUUGGCGUUGCCAUGGGGCUAAGGAGUUACAAAACCUAUCAACAACCAAUCCAAACAAACCAUGCAAAUCAACAACUAUACAAAGAUGAAUGAUGAUCUUAUUAAAUAUUAAACUUAAUAUUUAUGAAGCAAAAUGAAUGUGCUUGUCACAAUAAAAUCAUAAGAGUUCACGAGUGCUUAAGUUUUUUUUACGGCUAGAAUAAUGGAAUAGAUAAAACUUUGGUCGAGCUUACGAACAUAAAAAACGAAAAAAAAAUUAAAAUUUUGGUUAUGUAAAAGCUCAAUAAGAGUUCAAAAUUGGUUAAACUAAUCAGUGUUGCCCAUUUGUGACUGACAUCCACACGAGAUAGCCGAUUAGUUAUUUUUUAUUACUGGAAUAACGUGCAUCUCGACACUGCACAUUGACAAAGCCGAGCGCAUACCUUCCAUUGUCAAAAUCAACUAUGCUAAUGAUCAUGUUAGUGCGAUGGGUUCACUCUGUCAUUUGCCUACGCAUACAAUAUAUACUUUAGAAAACACAGAUAUAUUGAAAUUGCAUAGUUCGUCGUGAUCCUUUCUAAUCCCACACCAUGGGCCUUUAGCGGAUGAUGAGAUGGGACAUACUUCGGUAUCUCAGUAAAGUCAGAGCUCAUUCCUUAAAGGUUUUAUUAUAUUAAUUAUUGAGAGAUUAUAGAUUUUCUUUUAUUUUUUUUUGUUUUUAAUACAUCGCUCGUAGUAGUCUUAUGAAAGAUAAAAAGAGAAGAGAAUACGACUACAGUAGUAGCGACAACUAUAGCUUCAUCGCUACCACUAUGGUGAUUGUUGUAGCUUGUUGUGAUUGUAGCAUUAUCGUUGCUUAGGGCAACUACAACAAUGUCGUUGCGGCAUUUGUUGGCCAUGGCUGUUGAUAAGUCGCAUGCGAAGAGCUAUGCAACCACGAGCGAUGCAGGCGACGAAUGACCAGUGCACCAUCAACAAGACCUGCAAGUGUGGGCGUAGUGGGAUGCGACGACGACAACAACAUGAGAAUUUGAUUUUUUUUAAAGCACAUUUUUGUACCUCGAAUGCAUCUUGAUAUAAGAAAAUCAUAUCUCCUAAGGGCUCUUCACUGAUUUAAUCACCCGAGGAGAAGCACAAGUAAAAUUCUCCUACAUCAUUAGAAUCCAUGAAGUGAUAUAUAACACGAAUUACGAUCAGACCUAAACAAAAGAGGAAUCUCUCGAGCGACAUAACAAAAAUGAAUCCCAUAUUUGCUCUUUACAAUCAAUCUUUUGGCAUUCACUAAAAGUUAGACUAAUUUAGUUGAUAAAAAUCUUCGUUGUAUUUUUUAAAUAUUAUUAUAAAAAUGAAUCCCAUAUUUGCUCUUUACAAUCAAUCUUUUGGCAUUCACUAAAAGUUAGACUAAUUUAGUUGAUAAAAAUUUUCGUUGUAUUUUCUAAAUAUUAUUAUCAGUGUUGUCCCUCUUGAGAUAAAAAAAAGAAAUCGGUGUGCAAAAAGUGGUGGUCUGGUCAGUGUUAGCCCGAUAGGUACGGCGGGUGUGGCGUGCACCGGCCUGUUAUCCUUCCACCGUCAAGAGCGGGAGGUUAUCGCUGCUCUGUGAAACCAGCCUGACGCGGUGUCCUCCGCUUUAGGAUCCCAGAUAGCUCGGGCCUUCGUUCGAGCCACAUAGCUCAGCUGCCUGACUUGGAACGGGCAAGCCAAGUCUAGCACGACCGCACCCAACCUAUUCGGGCUGAACACAACAUUCCACCACCUUAUUGCCCCCACUAGGGUUACAAGCCGGCGUUACCGGGCUCGGCGAUCGAGGCGCUUCCACAACUUCAUAUAGCCUGUCAGUGAAUCCUAAAAAUUGGCGAUGUGGGACUAAAAACGCUCCCUCCUUUUUCCUUUCCGAACAUUCGUGCACCGCAUGCUUUCCAGGAGAAACCCGAAUUGCAUCUAAAGUUUCGAUCAUGGUUCCCCACCACCUAAAACCAUUCCAUCCCCUUCGAACAGACCAACAGAAGAUGCCCUGCAGACCCCUCCAGAUUACCCGACUCCUAAUCUUGAAACCUCGAAACCCAAUGCUCUCCUGCAUCGGGGAUUCAACAUGUUUCGAGCUAAAUUUCUCCUACAUCAGCUGACCGCAAUGCUGUAACUUUGGUGAUGAUGAAGAGGUGUAAGCUGAUAAAUGCUAUAACAAUGCCCGAAUACGUUGUCGGCCUCGUUGCAGAAGAGGAUCGACUUUUAGAUUGUGAAUCUGUGUCUUUGAACAUAGAUGCGCUAGCAUGUAUAUAAACCAUUACUUCUUAAUUCGAUGACAUUAAUAAAUAUAAUUGAUACGUCAUAUUUUGGCCUCGAAGACAUAUCAGGUCAGAAUCCAUACUAAGGCACUGCUUGACACGUCACAUCUUGGGAACCACAAGACACGCCAAGUCAGAAUCCAUACUAAGGCACUGCUCGGCAUGUCACGCCUCAGGAACCCCGAGACGGCGCCGCCCCCAAGACACGCCAAGUCAGAAUCUGUACUAAGGCACUGCUCGGCACGUCUACCAUGCCAAACCUCGUACGACUGACCCACGUACAAUAAUAUAAAGACCUCUGGCCGGCAUCUGGCUAGGAGGGGAAAAAAGGUGGUAAAAUCAAUUGAUCACUCUACUGACUUGUUCGUCAGAGGGUUCUCGUCGGGAAUCACCCAACGAGGGCCAUUUUUGAAGGAAAAUGCAGCCACCUCACGAAGACGAGCUACCAACCACCCGAGAAUCCCCAUCCAGUGCACGAAGGAGAGCAGCCAAUCGGUCCAUAUCCUAAACAAUGCCAACCAGUACUCCUUCUCGAGGGCUUGACCACCUCACGAAGAUGAGCUGCCAACCACCUCAGAAAAAGAGAGACGUAGCUCGACAUACACGACGCUCGGAUCGGCACACCAAGGAACACUGAUCAACACCCCAUUGCAAGGGCCCGAUAGACCUCGAUAUCCAACUCAACCGAUAGAAGACUCCCGACAUCGACCCGUAGACCAGGCUGUGCUAACUCACAAGCCACAGCACAUUUGUUUACUAACAUUUUGACGCUAGAAGGAGGGCAUGUCGCAAGAGCAACAGAUAGGGGUCCUCCCCGAGGGAGAACCACCGACCGACCUCCCUUUUGUUAAACCAAAAAGUCAGGCCUUCCCCACCCCCGGAGACAGGAGGAUCCCGGCUUCGAUGCUAGAUCGCUACUGUCGUCUGUUCAACGACCCGGGAUUGUCACCCCCGAGGCUCACCAUAGGGCCCUCGGUCGUGACACCCGAGGCAUUCCUUAGCCUAACCAAGCAAGUACAGGCCAUGGCGGGCAUGAUGUAGACGCUCGCUCCAAUCAUUCCUCAGAUCGUGCGGCUAGCGACGCCCCCGACCGACCCGUCCCAACAGCGACCGAACAGGGAGCAGGUCGGGACUGGAGAAGCCCAAGAGCAAGCAACGGACUCGAGAGGUCCGCCCGAGUAGAGCAUACUCGCACCCUGCCGAAUCACACCGCUCCACUCCGAGCCCGACACCAUAUCGUCCGACUCGGUGGAUGACUCGUUCAGGAUCCAGUUGUCUCGGAUCAACCAACGCUUGGAUGAGUUCCAGCGCGAGUUCCAGAAAUCGCGAUGCAAGUCGAAUGAAGGCGGCUCGGGCGAAUCGCCUUUCACUCAGGAAAUACAUGACAAGCCUGUACCACUCGACUUUAGGUUGCCCACAUUAGAGAUGUACGACGGCGGCUCUGACCCCGCAGAGCAUGUCGUCAUGUUUCGGGCUCAGCUAUGGCACCUCCAAUGCAUUGAUGUGUCGGGAAUUCCCGACCACCUUCAGGGGCCAGCACGAGCGUGAUUCAACCGGCUGCGCCAGUCCUCAGUCUCAUCCUUCGACCAGCUCACAAGGGAGUUCGAGCAAAACUUCCUCACCAACGUGCAACCCAAGCCUUCUAUCGCUACACUGCUGGCGUUAUCUCAACACGAGGAUGAGUCGCUCUCUCAGUUCGUGGCACAUUUAGCCACCGAGAUCUAUGAAUUUUCGGACGCUCAUCUCUCUCUAAUAAUGCAGGUGUUUCUGAUGGGCUUGAAACCUUCAAGGUUCUUUUGGUCACUAAUCGAGAAGCCUCCAGUAACCAUCCCCGAGAUGCUCCAAUGCGUCAACCAGUACAUCGCCGCCAAAGCUCUGGUGGUGGGAAAGUGCAUGGACAGCAAGAGGCCAAGGGCGAAACAAUCCCGGGGAACGACUUCCGUAGCCCCAGUGCAACCCCGCUAGAGGCUUGACUGACAAGAGCUACUGCUCCUGAGGCCCCCGCCUCUCCCUCUGAGCAUGUUCCACCAGGACUAUGACCACGGCACGGAAGAUUGCUGUGACCUCCAGAAUCAAAUCGAGGACUUGAUCCGAAAAGGUUAUCUCAAGUGCUAUGUCAAGGAAACCCGAGAAGCAACUCCAUGUCCUAGGGGACCCUUCGAAAGACGCCUCAUCAUCCAAAAUAUCAUGUCGAAAAGCCACUCGCGACAAGAGGUCCACAAGCUCGCCAGAUCGGUUCCCGACCUGCGACUCGCCGACCCAUCUCUUGCCUGAGCCGCUCUAGAUCGGUUCCCGACCUGUGCCUUGCCGGCCCAGCUUUUGCCCAAGUUGCUCCAGAUCAGUUCUCGACCUGCAGCUCGCCAGCCCAGCUCUUGCCCGAGUUGCUCUAUAUCGAUUCCCGACCCGCGGCUCGCCGGCCGAGCAUUUGUCCGAGCCGCUCCAGAUUGGUUCCCGACCUAUGGCUCACCGGCCCAGCUCUCAUUCGAGUCGCCCCAAAUCGGUUCCCGACCUGCAGCUCGCCGGCCCAGCUCUUGCCCGAGCCGCUCCAGAUCGGUUCCCGUCCUGCGGCCCGUUGGCCCAGCUCUUACCCAAGUCGCUCAAGAUUAGUUCUCGACCUCAGGCUCGCCGGCCUAGCUCUUGCCUGAGCCGCUCUAGAUCGAUUCUCGACCUGCGGCUCGCCGGCCUAGCUCUUGCCCAAGCGGCUCCAGAUCGGUUCUCGACCUGUGCCUCGCGGGCUCAGCUUUUGCCCGAGUCACUCCAGAUCGGUUCCCGACCUACGGCUCGUCGGCCCAACUCUCACCCGAGUAGCUCCAGAUCGGUUCUCGACUUGUGGCUCGCCAGCCCAACUCUUGCCCGAGCCACUCCAGAUCGGUUUCCGACCUGCGGCUCGUCGGCCCAACUCUUGCCCGAGUUGCUCUAGAUCGAUUCCCGACUUGCGGCUCUCUAGCCCAGCUCUUGCCCGAGCCAUCCAGAUCGAUUCCUGACCUGCGGGUAGCCAGCCCAGCUCUUGCCCAAGCGCUCUAGAUAAGUUCCUGACCUGUGCCUCGCUGGCCCAGUUCCUGCCCGGGUUGUUCCAGUUUGCUCCUGACUUUCGAUUCGGAGUCGAGCUUACUCACUUGGUCCCCAGAUUCAAUUCGGAGCCGAGCUUACUCACUCGGUCCCCAUAUCCGAUUCGGAGCCAAGCUUACUCACUCGGUCCCUAGGUUCAAUUCGGAGCCGAGUUUACUCACUCGGUCCCUAUGUUCAAUUCGGGGAGCCGAGCUUACUCACUUGGUCCCCAGAUUCAAUUCGGAGCCGAGCUUACUCACUCGGUCCCCAUAUUCGAUUCAAAUUCGAGCUUACUCACUUAGUCCCUAGGUUCAAUUUGGAGCCGAGCUUAGUCACUCGGUCCCUAGAUCCGAUUUAGAGCCGAGCUUACUCACUCGGUCUCCAGAUUCGAUUCGGAGUCGAGCUUACUCACUCGGUCCCCAGAUCCGAUUCAGAGCCGAGCUUACUCACUCAGUCCCCAGGUUCAAUUCGGAGCAGAGCUUAGUCACUCGGUCCCCAAGUUCAAUUCAGAGCUGAGCUUAUUCACUUGAUCCCCAGGUUCAAAUCGGAGAUAAGCUUAUUCACUCGGUCCCUAGGUUUGAUUCGGAGUCGAGCUUACUCACUCGGUCCCCAGGCUUAAUUCGGAGCCGGGCUUACUCACUCGGUCACCAGGUUCAGUUUGGAGCCGAGCUUAGUCACUCAAUCCCCAGGUUCAAUUCAGAGUCGAACUUAUUCACUCGAUCCCCAGGUUCAAAUCAGAGAUGAGCUUAGUCACUCAGUCCUCAGGUUCAUUUCUUGCUCGGGUCGCUCCAGAUCGCUCCCGACUUGCUACCCAUCGACACCGAAACCCGAGCCCGAGCUCGGUCACUCGACCCAUAGGCCCAAUCCAGUGUCCGAGCCACGCAUCUCAGCCAAUCCAACGCCCGAGUCGCAUCUCGGCCAAAUCCAAUGCCCGAGUCGCAUCUCGGCCAAAUCCAGCAUCCGAGCCACGCACCUCGGCCAUCCAACACCCGAGCCACGCAACUCGGCCAAUCUAACGCCCGAGUCGCAUCUUGGCCAAAUCCAAUGCCCGAGUCACAUCUCGGCCAAAUCCAACGUCCAAGCCACACACCUCGGCCAUCCAAAGCUCGAGCCACGCAUCUCGGCCAAUCCAAUGCCCAAGUCGUAUCUCGGCCAAUCCAAUACCCAAGUCGCAUCUCGACCAAAUCCAACGUCCAAGCCAUGCACAUUGCCCAUCCAAUGCCCGAGCCACGCAUCUCGACCGAUCCAACACCCGAGUAGCAUCUUGGCCGGUCCAAACGCCCGAACCACACAUCUUGGCCGAUCCAAUGCCCGAGCCAUACCUUGCGGCCAAUCUUAUGCCCGAGUCACAUCUCGAUCGAUCCAACGCCCGAAUCACCGGCCUAGUCUGUUAAUCCAAGUCGCUCCACGUCAACCCCUGACUAGCUACCCGUCAAGUCUCUAAACCGAGCCACCCCGGCUCGCUCGCCAACUUGCAAACUCGGCAGUUGUAACACCAAGUCGUGCCAAACCCGUUAUCUAACCUACGACACGUCGGUGUCGCCUCGUCGGUUUCGCCACGUCGGUUUCGACACGUUGGUUUUGCCUCGUCAGGCCCCUGCCUCCUGAUCAGUAGAGUCGAUCUUGCACGAAGCAUGGGGCGCUACCCUUCUAAAUCGCCCCAUGACGAGUUAAUCCAACUUCCCCUCAUGAACGAUCAGCCUCACUUCGAAGUAUCAUAUAAUAAUAUUUGGGCAUGGAAAGUUAUAAUGUCCUCCAUUGGGUUAGCAUUGCCAUCGAAUGCCUCCAACGACGAUGGUGGAAGAUUGUUAGAAUCGAUUCUUCCUGAAUUUUCUAGGUGAAUGAUGAUCGACUCGAGGUGGAGUCAACCAACGCUUCCUUUUUGGAUUAUUAAAUUUUUUAUCAUAUCUCCUCUAAAUGUCGGUCCAUCUAUGAUAGUUGGAUUCGCAAGGAAUCCUUCAUCAAUUUCGUCAACCUAGCCUCUGAUUUAAGCAUGAUAGAGUCAUGAUGUGGUAUGUUAAAUUUAUGGUGAUGGAGCGAAGUACUCUCUUGACCAUGAUUGGAUAGGUUUCGGGUACUCUUAGGAUGUCAACAUUAUGUUGGGUGGGGGAACAUUGAUUGGUGGGUGAGCUAUUGGGCUAACUAGCGUAAAUGUUAGAGAUUUUAAUAUAUAGAAUAUGCAUACUUGCAAGGCAUCUCAUGUAUGUCAAUUGUUGCAACCCCUUUUUUUUCUUAUUUAAGAUCCCUUCUGUUUUUUGAAUCAUAAUUAUAUUUUAACUGUUUUUUAAUAUUUAAUUCCUUCCAUCGAAAGAAAUGAACUUGAAUAACGAGAUGAUAUAAUAAAAGACACAAUAUCAACAAAAAUUUCUCAAGACCUACGUAAAGAAAAAAAAAUUCUUUGUAAAAAGAGAAAAAGCUAUAUUAAUUAGCAAAAACUAAAAAAAACGAAGAGCCGUUAGUAGCCUCCGAGGAAGAACAAAAAGUGGGUCAGCCUAUNNNNNNNNNNNNNNNNNNNNUCAACUAUGCUAAUGAUCAUGUUAGUGCGAUGGGUUCACUCUGUCAUUUGCCUACGCAUACAAUAUAUACUUUAGAAAACACAUAUAUAUUGAAAUUGUAUAGUUCGUCGUGAUUCUUUCUAAUCCCACACCAUGUGCCUUUACCGGAUGAUGAGAUGGGACAUUCCUUGGUAUCGCAGUAAAGUCAGAGGUCAUUCGUUAGAGGAUUUAUUAUAUUAAUUAUUGAGAGAUUAUAGAUUUUUUUUUAUCUUUAUUUUUUAUUUUUAAUUCAUUACUCAUAAUAAUCUUAUUAAAGAUAAAAAGAGAAGAGAAUGGGACUACAGUAGUGUUGUUGUGGGCGACAACUAUAGCAACAUCGAUACCACUAGGGUGAUUGUUGUAGCUUGUUGCGAUCGUAGCAUUACCGUUGCUUAGGGCAACUACAGCAAUGUCAUUGCGGUAUUUGUUGGCCACGGUCGAUGUCAACUAGACGUAAAAGACCAUGAUACUCAGCGGUUGCAUGACAAACUCGUAAGUAUUAGUGGGUGCCACAAUGACUAUGUGGUUGCUAGUUGAUACAAAAUCACGUAUGGCUGCGAUGACGAUGAGGUCGUUGAUUAGUCACAUGCGAAGAGCUAUGCACCGGUAACGAAUGACUAGUGCUCCAAGUGUGGGCAUAGUGGGAUGCGAUGACAACAUGAGAAUUUUUUUUUUUUUUAAGUAUAUUUUUAUCUUGAUAUAAGAAAAUUAUAUCUCCUAAGGGCUCUUCACUGAUUUAAUCACCUGAGGAGAAGCGCAAGUAAAAUUCUCCAGCAUCAUUAGAAUCCAUGAAGUAAUAACGAAUUACGGUCAGACCUAAACAAAAGAGGAAUCUCUGUGGCGUGCACCGGUGUGCAAAAAGUGGUGGUCUGGUCAGUGUUAGCCCGAUAGGUACGGCGGGUGUGGCGUGCACCGGCCUGUUAUCCUUCCACCGUCAAGAGCGGGAGGUUAUCGCUGCUCUGUGAAACCAGCCUGACGCGGUGUCCUCCGCUUUAGGAUCCCAGAUGGCUCGGGCCUUCGUUCGGGCCACAUAGCUCAGCUGCCUGACUUGGAACGGGCAAGCCAAGUCUAGCACGACCGCACCCAACCUAUUCGGGCUGAACACAACAUCCCACCACCUUAUUGCCCCCACUCGGGUUACAAGCCGGCGUUACCGGGCUCGGCG